CAAGUUUUCAGGCAGCAAAUUGAGGACUUGAAAGAAAAGGUAAAUUCCCUGAAGGAAAAAUAUGAUCACCUGAAGGUUCUUACCCUUUCAGUUUUGCCAAAUAUGAAAUAGGGUUAGGAUUAAUUAACUUGGAAAUACCAGAAUAUAAACUAAAACUUAGCCCAUUUAUCUUCUAUUUUUCAAUCACACAUUUCAUGGAACCCUUACUUUUAUCAACCGUCAACCUCACAUUUCCUCGAAUUUUAACAAAAACUUUUAUCAAAAUAACGGUUGAUCUGCUGUUUGUCAAUUAAGAUUUUUUUUUUUCCCCCGAAGACCUAUUCAAGUGUGUACGAAAAAAAUUGUAGUUCGUUUCAAAUUCAUUGGGAAUAAGGUUUACUAUUUUGUCGUAUACAUAUGCAUGUUGGCAUACAUGAGCACGAGUCGUGUAACAGAUUACCAGCUUCAGUAAAUGCUCAUACAAAACCUUUCCCAUCUUAUCAAAUGCAGGGAAAAGUCCUAGCAGUUGAAAAUGCAUUGCUGUGUAAGAAGGUGAAUCUCACCAUUUUCUGUGUAUAUUUUCUAGUUCAUUCUUUCUUAUUGUUUUCAUUAUUAUAUGAUUAUGUAAUUAUUAUAAAUCGAUUCGUUCUGUUAAAAUUUUGAGACAUUGAUUUGAGGUUUUGAUGGUUUAGUUUGGACUUGAACCACCACAAGGAUCAAAUGAAGAGAAAGCAACUGCAGCAUGUACAGAGAAUAGUGAAGUUUCAGAUGUUGAGACUGAAUUGUUCAUUGGACCUCCAGAAACCAGAAAUAAGCGUAAUUCUCUACAGAAAUGAUAAGACGAUUCAAAUGUUAAAAAGUAAAUUUUUACGAAUCGAUAGAAACGAUCGCUUGUUUGAUAAGAUGGGUUAUUGAGCACGAGAUGGUAUUAGAGGAAGGGGGGGAAAAUGAAGUGAAGUUGAUAUCUCAAGCAGUACUCAGUACCAUGCAUGUCUUUACAAUCUUUGUAAGUAAUUUCUAUUUUUAUUUCGCAUUGGAACAAUACUUGUACUAAAUAUUGCUGAACUUCCAAAAAAUUUUAUCUUAUGAGAGUAUCUCAUAAUUUCAAGUUGUCAUUUAGAUACUUAAAGACUCGUUCGAUAUGACUUUGCAAACUUGAAAGCUGAUAAUUAUGAGAUUAAGAAACUGUUUUAGAACAUGUUUAGAUAAUUUUUAGAAACUGCAUUGCCUGGCUCGAAGAGCUUUGUUUGGGAGAAUUACGGGAAAAUUGCAAUAUUGGUUCUCAACAGAAUCAUUAUAGAGAUUAUCAAUUCUUAUUAUGUUCGAUACGCUACAUUUUAGUUGUUUGUUGAUCGUCUUGAUCAGUUCAAUGUGUAAUCAAAACCUUUACAACAUAUCUGGUAGGAACGACUAGAAAGAAAAGAAUUCGAGACCUCAACCCUUAGUUGAGUCUAAUACUGCAUACAAAUUGUGCACUCUCGCAUAUCUAAUAAGGGAUAUUGAUUUUGUUCAUCAUUUUUGAUAUAGUUCUCUUGAUUUUACAAGGUGUGUGAGAAUGGUGAGAGGAAAAACUCAGAUGAGGCGUAUAGAAAACGCCACCAGCAGGCAGGUCACCUUUUCCAAGAGAAGAAAUGGGCUGCUGAAAAAAGCUUUUGAGCUUUCAGUUCUUUGUGAUGCUGAGGUUGCACUGAUUAUCUUUUCUCCCAGAGGCAAGCUCUAUGAAUUUUCCAGUUCAAGGUAAGAUCUAUGUGUUUUCGGUAAUUGAAUUUACUUAUAUUUUUAUCAAGAAAAUGCUAUUUUUCAUGCUGCUUGGAUUAAUGAUUCAGAUUUUUUGUGGGUUUUAUGAAAUGACCAAACUAGUAUUAAUCUGAAUCAGAUCUUACAGUUUUUAUCACCUAAAAAUGCCGCGUAGGGCUUCUGUCUGAUCAUGAUGAAAUUUUCUUUGUUGUUCGCUGUUAGGGUUACGACCAAACGGAAAAAUUUCCCAUGGAACAAAGAUCUUCAGAAAUGAACCAGCUUUCUCCCUAUUUGUUAAGAUAAUAAAUUCAAGUCCUUAUGCCACUUAUGAACAAUUUUGCUGCUGACUUAAGAACCCUAUUAAAAUUUUACAAUUUUGAUUGAGAUUCCAUUAAUUAAACCAAAAUUGAGGGAAGUACUACUGUUGGUUUCUUUUGGGUUUUGUUUAAUAGGAGGAAAUGAUUAGUAUUUAGCAUACUUAGAGUUAGUUUCUGCCUCUUAUCAUAAGAUUAACAUAAAAUAGUUGCUUAUAUAAUAGCAACUUAUAUGAUGUUAUUAAUUAAUUAACCCUUUGUUCGAAGUAAAUUUGAAAAUUUGAAGCCGGUUACGUUGAUAUUUAUAACACACUGCUAUAUCACUUUGAUCGCUAGAUCUACUUCUAUCUUUUAGUUUGACUUUUAAUACAAGGCAAAAGUAUGGGAUAUAAUCUUAUUACUAUGUUCAGAAUCUCAGUGUACUUCCAAGAAAACUACAGAGAACAAUCAACUAUUUUAGUGUACUUAUACGAGUCAUUUCAUGUGAUUUUUGGCCCUUUUUUUUUUUUUCAAUCCAUAAGAAAUAAUUGAAUUUGGACUCCUUGAAAUCUCAUGCCCCAUAUCUCAUAAGAUUAUGCUUAGCUUAUGAUUCCACUAGCCACAGCAGCAGCCAGUCGUAUUCUAAUUUUUUUUUUUUUUUUAAUGGUACAUUAAUACUCAUUUUUCGCGGUUUGCCUUAAUAAAUUACCAAACCAUGAUAGUUUUGAUCGACCCUUUCCUUUUUGGACUCAUUUUAGCGCAACACGUAAAAUCUUUAUUAUGAUUCCCCUUGGUGCUUAUUAAUAAAGUUAAAGAAGAAAAUUUGUACGCUUACGUUAAAAAAACAUGUGGAAUAGUAAGUUUAAAGUUGAACUGUAUUAAGUAUGGAAGCCAAUUGGAUUAUUGUACUUGAUUUUGAAUUAACUGUAUUUGUUCAAGAGACCAUGCUGCUCCCUAUAUGAUGCCUAAAGAUUCUUUUCUGCAAAAAUAUUGGUACGAUUUUCAUCUAUAUUAAUGCUGCAGAUCCCAACUCACAUAUAAACUCAAAAUUAUUUUAGUGAAGGAAUUAAAGAAUAUCCCAUUAAAAAAUCCCUAUUAUUUCCUUUUCUUUAUCAACUUAUUAAGUUGUAAUAAACAAGGACUUAAUCCCAUCCAAAUAUGUUCUGUAGUUGCUCUCGUUUUUUUCACGUGAAAAACGAAAAGAUAGAACUCCUCUUUGGUGUUUAGAGUUCAGUUUACUCUUAUUUAAACCCGUCUAUUAGUUGCCAACUAGAAAAAUUGGAUUUGAGAUCACCAUGUAUUCUUAAUCGUGUUGUUUAUUUCCUAUUUCACUGCAUCACUAAUUCAAUUUACUCGUCUAAUCCCGUCCAUAUAUAUUUCAACUUGAAAAAUGUAAAGAAUAAAGAUAGAACCCUUCCUCUGUCUAUAAUUUAUUUUACUCUAACCUAAUCCCUUCCAUCAUUUCAACUUGAAAAAUAAAAGAUGACAAAUCAAUCCCUACUUAGUGUCUACAAUUCAAUUUACUCUUACUAAUACCGUUCAAAUGAGCUUGCAUUCAGUUUCAUUUUCAACUUGAAAAACGAAAAGAUAACCGGUAUCUAGAAGUAGUUUUACUCCUAUUAUCAUACUUUCACACAUACACCUUAGUGGGACACGGAAAUUUUUUAUUAAAUCGGUCAGUCUAAAAAUCCUUUGUAAAAAUGUCCCUAACUUGAGAGACUUGUAGGAUUUGACAACUUCUCCUUCUUGAUCAGAUGUCUAAGAAAAUAAGCUUAAUUCUUAUCUUUGCUUCUUCCAUGAAAAUGGGUAUUCUUAGGUGGAGUUGUUACUAAGUUAUUAACACAAAACAAAAUAGUCUCUUUCUCUUGAGGACGCUUCAAAUCCUUAAAUACCCUUCUCAACCAUGACCGAAAAAUAUAAUCAACUUCUAUAAUUGAGAUAGCUAUUAUAGGUUGCUUAUUCCAUGUCGAUGACACUAUCCAUGAGCCAAUGUUAAUAGCAUAUGCUGAAUUGUUUUUAUGAUCAUAACGUUACCAACCAAAUUGCUAUCAGUAUGACCUACCAACCAUAGUUAUAUCCUAAUCUUGUUGAGAAGUUCAUGAUCUAGUUUUUCUCACACGCGUUUGAGAACUUUCUUUCCAUCUUACCAAUCGUUUUGUUUUGGUGCUGCAAACAUGAGGUUUGGCCUUGUUGUGCUUUAGUGCAUAAGACUCCUCCCAUGGCCCGUGCUUAGUGUAGCUAAAAAUCAUAUUAUUAUUAGAUUUUGAUAAAAGUCGAUGAAAUGUUAGGUUGAAAAGUUGAUAAAAAUUGUGGGUUUCAUUUAAUAUGUAAUCCACAUCCGUUUUCUCAACUCUUUUAUUAUUGAUGCCUUGAAUUUAUCGCACAUCACAUUGUUGUUAGUUAUGAAAGUGAGAACAUGAACAAUCAACAAAUUUUUAAAAUACUAUUGUCUUCAUCUUCCUUCUUCGAGACUGCAUGUUCAUAGAGAAUACACUCUUUAAGACAAGUCAACUUUACAAGUCACUUGGAGCUUGCUUCAAUUUUUACAAUGCUUUCUUCCAUGGAAAAUCUUGUAUUCUUCUCCUUCCUUUUCAUCACCGAAGGGUUGCUUCACAUAAUUUUUUUCCUCUAUAAAGCCAUUUAAAGAUAUUGACUUCACAUCGAUUUGAUGGACUUUGCAUUCUCUUUGAGUUGUUAUGGCAUUAAGUCCCUGUUUGGCCCCCAUUUUGUAAAUUCAUUUUCUCCUAGAGCUCAAUUUCAAUUAUAUAUUUAAUGGGAUCUACAACUUUUAUCUACUUUUCAAAUACAUAUUUCAUCAAUUUUUAUCAAAAUUUAUUAAAAUAUGUUUUUAGCUAAACAAAACAUGGGCUAAGUAAUUGGACUGUGUCAAUCUAACACCUCCAAGUCAAUCUCUUGUUUAAGAUUUCUAUGCUUUUACAACUAUGCUUGCUUUGUUAGCAUCAACUUCUCUUUCGAAUUCUAUAUUUUCUGCACACCAAUUUCACAACAGGCUUCUUAUCAUUUGAAAGUUAUGUCCUAUUUCCUUGGAUUGCAUCAAUCUGUUGAUUGGCAUUUUUUCCCUUUCCAUCUUAGGCGGUUUUCUCAAUUUUAUUGGUUUUUUGUCAACGAGAAAUAUAAAAUCUCUUGAAAGUUUUUUUUAUCUUUCAAAGUGGUUAAUCAUCACGAUUUGAACUUGAUAAAUUUUAAGAAUUAUAAGAGUUGCCGUUGCUUGCUCAACAUUUGGACUUCUUUUCUACUUCGAUUUCUAGAGCUUUUGCUUCUUCAUCCCAUUUUCAUGCUUCUUCUUCAUUAAAUUUUACAUAUCGACUAAUGAUGAUCUUGCUGUGGAUAAUGGGUGCAGAGAAAUUCAUUGAAGUCUUUAUUUUUUUGCUUAUUAAUAAGAAAAGUUCGCUGAUUAUUUUCAUUGAACGUGAAACUUGUUCAGCACACGGGAGACAAUAGAACGUUACCAAAGGAAUACUAAAGAUAAUCACACUGAAAACCCUUCGGAUGAACAAAAUAUGCAGGUUAUCUUCAUUUAAUUUUGUCAAAUACUUUUACAGGAUAGCAAGUUUUUUGCUACGUACCUUAUUAUCAAUCUAAUUAACUAUAGACAAAACUUGAAUGGUUUUUGUCACUGUAUUUAUUUGGAACUGCAGCAGUUAAAGCAAGAGACAGCAAGUAUGAAGAAGAAGAUAGAGCUUCUUGAAAUCUCUAGACGGUUCGUACAACCUGAUUUUUAACACUUAUUGCUUGGGAAAUUUUUUUCUAAAAAGCAUGUUUGGCUAAGCUUAAUUAAAAAAUGUAAAUUAAUUUUUCCAAAGUAAAAAAUGAGUAAUGUCGUAAAAAGUGAGAUUUUUGUACUGAAAAUUCGAAAUAACGAACUAGCAAAUGCUGGGCUAAGCUUUAAAUAAUUGAACUUAGAUCACAAGUUAAGAUUACAGUCAAAAGAGUAAUAAUGCUGAAUUGUUUUUAUGAUCAUAACGUUACCAACCAAAUUGCUAUCAGUAUGACCUACCAACCAUAGUUAUAUCCUAAUCUUGUUGAGAAGUUCAUGAUCUAGUUUUUCUCACACGUGUUUGAGAACUUUCUUUCCAUCUUACCAAUCGUUUUGUUUUGGUGCUGCAAACAUGAGGUUUGGCCUUGUUGUGCUUUAGUGCAUAAGACUCCUCCCAUGGCCCGUGCUUAGUGUAGCUAAAAAUCAUAUUAUUAUUAGAUUUUGAUAAAAGUCGAUGAAAUGUUAGGUUGAAAAGUUGAUAAAAAUUGUGGGUUUCAUUUAAUAUGUAAUCCACAUCCGUUUUCUCAACUCUUUUAUUAUUGAUGCCUUGAAUUUAUCGCACAUCACAUUGUUGUUAGUUAUGAAAGUGAGAACAUGAACAAUCAACAAAUUUUUAAAAUACUAUUGUCUUCAUCUUCCUUCUUCGAGACUGCAUGUUCAUAGAGAAUACACUCUUUAAGACAAGUCAACUUUACAAGUCACUUGGAGCUUGCUUCAAUUUUUACAAUGCUUUCUUCCAUGGAAAAUCUUGUAUUCUUCUCCUUCCUUUUCAUCACCGAAGGGUUGCUUCACAUAAUUUUUUUCCUCUAUAAAGCCAUUUAAAGAUAUUGACUUCACAUCGAUUUGAUGGACUUUACAUUCUCUUUGAGUUGUUAUGGCAUUAAGUCCCUGUUUGGCCCCCAUUUUGUAAAUUCAUUUUCUCCUAGAGCUCAAUUUCAUAAAUUUCGUCAAUGAUCUGAUUAUUUUCUUUGUUUUUGAAGAUGCAAGUUUUCAGGCAGCAAAUUGAGGACUUGAAAGAAAAGGUAAAUUCCCUGAAGGAAAAAUAUGAUCACCUGAAGGUUCUUACCCUUUCAGUUUUGCCAAAUAUGAAAUAGGGUUAGGAUUAAUUAACUUGGAAAUACCAGAAUAUAAACUAAAACUUAGCCCAUUUAUCUUCUAUUUUUCAAUCACACAUUUCAUGGAACCCUUACUUUUAUCAACCGUCAACCUCACAUUUCCUCGAAUUUUAACAAAAACUUUUAUCAAAAUAACGGUUGAUCUGCUGUUUGUCAAUUAAGAUUUUUUUUUUUCCCCCGAAGACCUAUUCAAGUGUGUACGAAAAAAAUUGUAGUUCGUUUCAAAUUCAUUGGGAAUAAGGUUUACUAUUUUGUCGUAUACAUAUGCAUGUUGGCAUACAUGAGCACGAGUCGUGUAACAGAUUACCAGCUUCAGUAAAUGCUCAUACAAAACCUUUCCCAUCUUAUCA
rnacentral:lncRNA from 1 species